AAGACAAAGUGUGAGAGAGCACAGGAUCUCGGGCUCUGUGAGGCUCUGGGCACAAGCAGGGCCACAUCUGAGCACAGAUGACCAUGUACUACACCUUGAUGGGGAGGGAACCUUCCCACACCGCUGCACAGAACCCAGAGACGUCCUAGCAUCUGAGGAUUGGGAACUGUGGGCACAUCUGGUGUCAGAACCCUUGGACUGGACAAGACUAUUUAUUCUCAUGUGGCCACUGUAAGGUUUCUUCAAGAGCAUUUUUGAGGUAUGAAUAAGUGGAAACCAGAAGAGAGAAGAAAGAGGGCUUGAGGAUCACAGCUGACAAACUGGACUGUGGCCACUGGAUUAUCUGCUCCAUGAGUGUAGGGGUCCUGCCAGCUGUGUCUGCCAUUAGAUUCAAUCACCUAGUACAGCAUCUGGCACUUGGGAUACAUUUCACGAAUGCAUGGGCAUGAAGUAAUACCAAACAUGCAAGGAUUCUUCAGGGGCUUGCAUAAUCGCAUGGAGAAGAAUGGUGGGGGAGAAAUAAUUGAACCAAGCUAGAGACAAUCCGGGGACUAAGAGACUGAAUAUACAAACAGAAAAUGUUCAGACCAUGUAUAAAAAUAGAACUUUGACCCACAACCUGCAGCAACCUCCUAUCUACAACAAACAACCCAGGAAGCCAGUCUGCUCCCUCUUCUUCCUUCCUGGAAUGCAAUCAUGAUACCUGGAAGCAUAAGAACUGCCAUCUUGCAACCACAGAGAGAAAUCCCGUACAUGCUAAGGCCAGUGGGAAAGAAGGACAGAGGGAGCUGGAGGUAUUAUGAAGUCAUGGAGCAGCUGUACCAGUCCCAGUCCUGCCUGCCUGCCUUGAGACCUCGUCAGAUGUUGGAACAAUACGUUGACUGACUCCUUUCCCACACUGGGAUGCCGGCCUGGGGAAGAAUGUGGCUGAGCGCUCUGGCCGCCUUCGACCCUCAGCUACGAGGGGCCUCCUACAUUCUCUCGCUUGUGUAUCAAGUCGUUAGCUGCUCGCUGCCAAGUAUUAAGUGCUUGUUCCACAAACCUGGUGUAGAUUAUCACUUCGCUGUAUAGAUGUAUCUAAUAGAAUUAAAUUGUUGGCUCCUGACCAGUAACAGAUGUGCUACAUAUAAUGCAAUAAUAAUGAGAUUGAAACCACCAUGUAAUAUUAAGGGAAAAGUGGAGGGCGACUUGCAUUUCUCUAGUUUGGAAGCAAACUUGGAGAAAAAGGAAACUAGAAAGGAAGGAUAGCCAUUUAUUUGCACUGAGUGAGUGCUGUCUGUGUGCUUCAGAUAACCCCAAGGAUGCCUUUCGCAGCCCCAUGUGCACCCGUGACACAAGUACAAGGCAAAUAGGGUAGGAAUAGGGAUAUGUUUGUGCUGGAGGUGGAUUAAUCCAGCUCAGUGACCACCUGCCUCCCCAACCUUGUGCUGCCCACCUUUGGGGGGCUAUAAUGACUUCAGAAUGGGAUAAAUUCUUGCAGGCUGCUCCAGGUGAGGGGUGAGCAGUGAAACCCAUGCUCAGGGGGCCGACACAUGAACAGGAAGAAGACAAAAGUAUAGAUGAGGACAAAUGGAAAUCUGACUGCUGCUGGGCAGGCCCCAGUGUUCCCAGGUGUAGAUUCCAGUGCUCUCUCUUGAUGGUUAUGUAGUUCUGGGACUUUUCUCAGAAUUAGGAUGAGCGGACAUCUGCUUCUCAAAAGUCUGCAACUCUGCUUCCUGGAAGUGCUCAACAGGAGACUCAGAAGGGAUUAUUCCAACAGUGAAAGGGGUAGCCUGGAGAUCAAAGAGCAGGCUCAGCCAUAGGAGUGAUGCAAGUAGACGCUUGAAAAAGUGUAUGCCUAUUUCUGCCAACCCUCUUGCACAAUUGAGCUUCUAUAUGACUUUGCUGAAUGUGAAUCCAGAGCUUGGGCUUUUCUGGGUGCUUUGACCUGCUGCUCUUCCUUCUGCCCUGUCUUUUCUUCCCCUGUUAUCCUCCUUUUCUCUUCUCUCCAAUACAGUGACCCUAUCAGUUUGUUAUUGCUGAGUAACAAACAGCCCCAAAACUUCAUGUAUGGUUUUUUUUUGUUUUUCAUCACAAAUCUAUGGGUCAGUUCUGUGAACUAAGGCCAGCCUUGACUGAUCUUAUCUGGGUUUGCUCAUGUGUCUAUAGUCAGCUGACAGAUUUGUGGGACACUGGCUUGUCUAGGACGGUCUUGGCUCUUUGUGGUUCUUACAACCCUCCAGUAGGCUAGCCGGGGUAUGUUCUUAUGGCAUUAUGGGAAUCAUGAUGGAGAUCAAGCCCGAUUAUGUGAGAGAGUUGGUAGAAAUAGGUAUGCACUUUUUCAAGCCUCUACAUGCAUCACAUUUGCUGUCAUCCUAUGGGCAAGCAGUCUCAUGGCUAAGUUAGAAUCAGGGUGAGAAGGAUGAUACAGCUACAGGGCAAAGGGCCUAGGUUAAAGGAGAGCAUGAGUUAGGGCUGUUGAAACAAUCAAUCUACUGCAGUAUUCUUGGAAUUUUCUUGAGGUUUCCAAGUACACCCAUUAGGAACAGUCAAUGGGACAGGUCAGUGACAUGUCCUGAAACCCAAGUCCUUCUUCAAUCCAUCCAAAGAAAUGGUCAAGAAGCUGUCAAGUCAGUUUCUGGUUUUCUCUACCUGGACUUCUGUUUGCUAGCUUGCCAUAUGCUGACAAUUUGGGAUUAUUUGCUUCUCUUCUCCCCAUCCCUCCUCCCCCUCAACCCAUAUGCAUACAUACACAAAAUAGAUCUUAGUUCAAUUUCUGGGGACCCUUUCCACCACAGUCUCCAGUCCCCAAAGGAAUAGGUAUGACAGAGAAAGUCUGGGUGCGAGGCAUGGAACACAGUCCUAGAGGGAUUGGGUGGCAAGAGAUGAAGGACAAAGGAGCAAAACAGACAUGAUGCUGAGAGAAAGAUAAAUAAGGCAGGGAGGCUCUCAGGUACUGCGCCCAGAGGUACAACUGAGGUCAAGACAAGAUGGGGGUAAACAGGCACAUCCAAUCAGGGGAACAAAGUCAAGGGUUGCAUAGUCAAGUCCUCUGUAGAGCACCAGAAGGAUCAGACUAGAAAAGCAAAAGGAAAUUUGCUUAGCACAUAAUAAUUGCUCAAUGAAUAUUUGUGGACUGACUGACUAGGAAACUAUCCUAAGAAACCAACAGAACCUCAAACACAAACUUGGGAAAAAGGAGAGACAUUGAAGCAUUAUUUGUAGUAGUAGAUAGAAACACACCAAAUGCUCAACAAUAGGGAAAGAUUAAAUAAUUUAUGGUACAUCUAUAUAAUGGCAUAUGAUAUGGUUAUUCAAAAUGAUGUUUUAAAUUAAAUUUUUAUGACUGGAGAAGCAGUUCACCAUGUAAUAUGAAGUGAAAAAGCAGGCUACAAAACUGUAUGCAAUAUCAUUGCAAGUAGGCAUAAAAUAAGUGUGGUUUUAACAGUGGUUUAUGGAAGAUUUUUGUAUCUUUACACUUUCUAUAUUUUCCAGGUUUUCCAUAAUGAGACUAUACUUCCUUUAUGACUAUAAAAAUAUCUAAAGUUCUAAAAUGAAUGUGAAUCUUGAUUUUGAAAUGGGGACCAAGAUGUUAACUUCUUAAGUUAUAUCAAGUACCCCUUAUAUAUUCUCCUGUAAUUUGAUUGGUAGCAUUUACCACAAAUUACGAACAGUUAGUGGUCUCUCAUCUCUCUCUCCAACAGAAUGUAGACCACAGGAGAGUGAGGAUUUUGCCUGUCUUGUUCAUUGAUAUGUUUUCAGUACUCACCACAGCCUUAUAGACAGCAGGCCCUUAGGAAAUGUUUGUUGAAUGAAUGAAUGACAAAAGCAACUCA
rnacentral:lncRNA from 10 species